GCUCUUCCUUCGCCGCCGCCGCCGACCCAGCAGUUCGACGACCUCGUUUCACCGCCUUCUUCACGACACCCACCGGAAACCACCACCAAUUUGCAAGAAUGAGUGAUAAUCGUAUGUGGAUGUACGCGAGAUACAAUGAUCGUACUGCAUUUGAAACGGGGCUUGAGUUUUUCCUUGAGUGGGCGUUCAAUCAAACGGCGUACACAGAUGGACAAGGUAACAUUAGGUGCCCGUGUAAGAAGUGCAAGAAUCAAGCGUAUUUAGAUGUACCUACGGUCAGAAAACAUGUUAGUAGGCGUGGAUUUGUCCUGAAUUACAAAGUUUGGGUUUGUCACGGGGAAGCACCGCUGUAUAU